rnacentral:rRNA from 1 species
CCUACGGGUGGCAGCAGUGAGGAAUAUUGGUCAAUGGACGGGAGUCUGAACCAGCCAAGUCGCGUGAAGGAUGACGGCCCUAUGGGUGGUAAACUUCUUUUAUAUGGGAAUAAAACAGGGUAUGCAUACCCUCUGGUAUGUACCAUAUGAAUAAGGAUCGGCUAACUCCGUGCCAGCAGCCGCGGUAAUACGGAGGAUCCGAGCGUUAUCCGGAUUUAGUGGGUUUAAAGGGAGCGUAGGUGGAGUGUUAAGUCAGUUGUGAAAGUUUGCGGCUGAACCGUAAAAUUGCAGUUGAAACUGGCAGUCUUGAGUACAGUAGAGGUGGGCGGAAUUCGUGGUGUAGCGGUGAAAUGCUUAGAUAUCACGAAGAACUCCGAUUGCGAAGGCAGCUCACUGGACUGCAACUGACACUGAGGCUCGAAAGUGUGGGUAUCAAACAGGAUUAGAUACCCGGGUAGUC